UAGGGAAUCUUCCGCAAUGGACGCAAGUCUGACGGAGCAACGCCGCGUGAGUGAAGAAGGAUUUCGGUUCGUAAAACUCUGUUGUUAGAGAAGAACAGCGCAUAGAGUAACUGUUAUGCGUGUGACGGUAUCUAACCAGAAAGCCACGGCUAACUACGUGCCGGCAGCCGCGGUAAUACGUAGGUGGCAAGCGUUGUCCGGAUUUAUUGGGCGUAAAGCGAGCGCAGGCGGUCAAUUAAGUCUGAUGUGAAAGCCCCCGGCUCAACCGGGGAGGGUCAUUGGAAACUGGUUGACUUGAGUGCAGAAGAGGAGAGUGGAAUUCCAUGUGUAGCGGUGAAAUGCGUAGAUAUAUGGAGGAACACCAGUGGCGAAGGCGACUCUCUGGUCUGUAACUGACGCUGAGGCUCGAAAGCGUGGGUAGCAAACAGG
rnacentral:rRNA from 1 species